AUGGGCAUGGGCAUGGCUUCUCCCUUGCUUUCCUGCGCCAUCAUGGCACUCCUAGCCGCCGUGCUUCCCCCGCCAUCCGUCGCCGGCGACCCCGACUUGCUCCAGGACAUCUGCGUCGCCGACCUCACUUCCGCCGUGAAGGUGAAUGGGUUCGCUUGCAAGGCCACGGUGACCGAGGACGACUUCUACUUCAAGGGGCUGGGCGCCGCCGGCAACACCAACACCACCUACGGCUCCGUGGUGACCGGCGCCAACGUGGAGAAGGUGCCCGGGCUCAACACCUUGGGCGUCUCCAUGGCGCGCAUCGACUACGCGCCGGGCGGGCUCAACGCGCCGCACACCCACCCGCGCGCCACCGAGAUGGUCUUCGUCCUCGAGGGCGCCCUCGACGUCGGCUUCAUAACCACCGGCAACAAGCUCGUCUCCAAGACCAUCGGCGCCGGCGACGUCUUCGUGUUCCCGCGCGGCCUGGUCCAUUUCCAGAAGAACAACGGCGCCGGCCCCGCCUCCGUCAUCUCGGCCUUCAACAGCCAGUUCCCCGGCACGCAGUCCCUCGCCAUGACGCUCUUCGCGGCCACGCCGCCGGUGCCUGACCACGUGCUCACCACGGCGUUCCAGGUCGGCACCAAGGAGGUGCAGAAGAUCAAGUCCAGGCUCGCCCCGAAAAAGGCCUGA
rnacentral:rRNA from 1 species